GAAUCUCUCAAUCUUCAGCAACUGCAUGGGUUGGUGAGGCUGGAGGUGCUUACAACAGCGGUCGCAACCUAGUCUCAAAUGCAUUUGUCUAUAGCUUUUGGUCAGUGAAAUGAGAAUUCAGAUAUAACAUUUCUCUCUAUUAUAUGUGAGACUCAGGAUCUGAGAAAGAAUGCUGUUUGAAACAGGUACCUGGAUCAGCUUGGACUUGCGGCUGCACAUGACACCAAAACUUACUGCAGACAGUCACUGAUUGGGGGCAACUAUGGCCUGCUCAACACCACCACAUAUGUGCCAAACCCUGACUAUUACAGGUACACUUACAACUCCUUCAUAGAAAGGCUGAGGUAGUUGAAGAUACUUACAUACUUGUCUUAUUGCAGUGCUCUUCUUUGGCAUCGAUUGAUGGGGCGUAACUCUUUGUCAACAAGCUUUUCUGGAUCAAAUAAGCUACGUGUAUAUGCUCACUGUGCAAAAUAUUCUGUAAGUGCACUUCCUUUCUGCAGUUAACAUUGUAAAUAGCAUAUCUUGAUUCUGAUUGAAUGCAUACAUCGCUGAUGCUGCAGAAAAGUUUUGUGUUGCUGCUAAUUAACCUGGACGACAGCACAAAAUUUGAAGUCAACGUAGGACUUAACACUACCUUGAUGCUGCAAAAUAAAUACAGUUCACACAGGCAUCAUAAUCACAGAACAGAAAUCAUUCAGCUUCCUCCUCAUCGUUCCAAGAAUGGUCAAAUGAGAGAUGAAUACCAUCUAACAGCUGAAGAUGGAAACUUGCACAGCCAAACAAUGCUACUUAAUGGGAAGAGCUUAAAAGUAAAUUCAGAUGGGGACAUACCUGAAUUCGAGCCUUUACAUGUAAAUUCGUCAGAGCCAAUAUCUGUAGCUCCUCUAUCCAUUGUAUUUGCUCGUGUUCCAUAUAUUCUCC
rnacentral:lncRNA from 1 species